GGACCAGUAUCUCAAUACUGAAGAGUUCAUUGAUGCUGUGGCCGCAGAGCUGAAGGCAAAACUUGGAAUCAAGCCAUAAUUGUAUGUAUCCACUCACUAACUUCUCCUAGCACCGCUCUGGAAUAAUAUUAAUACUGUACCUUGCAAAAUAAUUUUAGCUACCAAGCUUUCAUGGAUACUUUAUUUUGGCAUUAUACUUCCAGAUCUCGCUAAAUUGCCAAAUUGCUAGCCACUAGAAAAUAUUCUAGAUGAAUGCGUAGGCAUAUUUAAAUAUGAGGAAAGCUAUGUAUUAAGAACUUUGACUGUUCAGAGGCUAGUGAUGUGUUGCUUGAUAAAUAAUGUGUUAGGAAGGAACACAUACAUUUGGCUGGAAGAUGUGUUUCAGGGACUCUAGCUUUUAAUGUUUAUAUUGGCUUGUCUACUCUCAAACGGAUCCUUGUUUUUGGUUAUGAUGGUUUAGCUCUUAUCAUAUGUUGUGUAACCCAAUGAUCAAGUGCUGAUUAAGUCGGUUUAUUAUGGUUGCAGGCUUUGGCAGGCAACCUGGAGGAGGAAGAAACCUAUGUUAUUGGGAAGAAAUAAAAGGAGAGGAGAAAGGAAGGGAAAGGUUUAGGGCACAGUUCUACUUUCCGUCUCCUGUUCGAUUCAGUUCAAUAUCAAUUUCAAUGUACGUGCACAAUUUGUUUACUUUCAAGAUGGUAUUUAUCCAAGAAUCAAAACGAUGCGCAUUCCCUUAUUCUUACAUCUUAGGAAAUUACUAAGGUUGAUAUAAAUGCCUAACCUAAAUGCUAGUUAUUGAAGGGAUUAUAGACUAGAAAUUUAAUUUGACGACGGACAGAAAGGCCACAUGGACUGCCAAUUUCUCUCUCUUUUCCAAACUACCAAUCUAUGCCGUCAGAUCUCAUACAGAGAUGCUCUCAGACCCGCCCCAGUUUUUCCUCCCCCUCCCAAUAUCUUGCCAUUAGUUGCAAGUAUCUGGUGUCGAAGCAGUAGCAUAAGAAUUUAUGAAUUUGCUAAGGAUUAGAGUGCAAGGGGUGCAAGAAAAAAAAAUUAAAUUAAAUACUGAUAGAGUUGCGAACCUCAAGAAUGUAAUUUCAGAAAAUAAACCACAGAGCUUGCAUUGAAUAUUAAAAUGCAUCCUCAAUGAUCUCCAUUUUUAAAUCCUUCCUCAUAAUUACCCUUUCUCUUCUUCCCAAUUCUAUCUAUCCUUCCUCUACUUUGUAAUGCAUUGUCAAUGAUAUCCAUCUCUUGGACUUCUAUAAAAUAUGCUCUGGGCCAUAUGUCAUGAGAGAGGCACAGGAAAUGAUGCAAGUUCACUUCAUCCCAGCACCACCCAAACCCACCUCACUGCAUCAUUAACCCACUCAAAAUCUUUCUACACAAGGUAUACAAAAAUUGCUUGACCGUCUCCAUCCAAGAAAGCAGCUCCAGCACCUCAAGAAUAACCCUUGACUGAAGAUAACUAACAUUUGUCUUUAAUCUGGAAAAUGCAGCUUUCUCUACAAAAUCAGAAUUAGGAUGGGGCUUCAGAGAAAGACCAUAUACUGCAUAUUUGGCAUAGGUGAACAGCCUGAUUCGCUGGGGAGCACCCAACUUGCUAAUGACUGACCUCAGAAGCCCAUCUGUACGCAAUAUUGUGAGAAAGUCAGGUGGUAAAGAUUCCAUAAAUGAAGAUAUGUCCUCCAUCUUUAAGGACUUCAGCUCCUGCUUCAAAAUCCUCUUCUCUUCAGCUGACAUGCCUCCCCCAAGAUAUGAUUUACUGUCAAUAGUUCUUCCAAUAAAUAUGACAGGGAAGUAUCUAGAGUACUUCCCAACAUUAAAUCGUUCACCAAGUUGCCGUACUUGAUGCGAGUCCUGAAGAAUCAAUGCCUUCCAGAGCUGACAAUAGUCCAUCCUAAAUCCUUCAUCCAAUUGCUUGUAGAUUCCAUGAUCUAGAAGAACCAAAGAAAAGCCAUUUGGACCUUCUGGAGAAACUAAUAUGUUACCGGGAUGUAGAUCUCCAUGUACAAAACCAUGGAUGAAUAUCAUUUCGGCAAAGACUUCUACCAAUGUUUUUGCUACCUUUAUAGGAUUUAUUCCCAUUUCCUUCAAAAAUCCCACAUCAUCAACCUGAAAUCUAAGGAACAACCUUGUGCCCCCAACAAAAUUGCAUCGUCAGAACCUGACUUGUUGUGAACUCCUGGAAGCAAUUCAAAUGGCGGUCAGCUUGGCAUAGCAUGCAUACAAGUUCAACUAUUGUAAACUGUAAUAUGUUUCAGUAAGAAAGGAAUUGAUAGAAUGUGAACUAAUAAAGGGAAAAUCUCAACUACACUACCCAAAAUAUAUGAGGAACCCUGACCAUCUUCUUGUUUUUAAAAUAGUUGGCUGUCCUCUCAGAAUUUCUUGCCUCCUGCAUGAAAUCAAGUUCUGAAGAAAUGGCCUUUGUGAAUUCUGAAACCAACCAGUCAAACCUAUAAUCAGGGAAAAACCAUGCAACAGAUUUUGAAAGGAACGACAUAGUUGUUGUGUCAAUUUUCAUUUGGAGUGCCAGCCCAGGGUAUUGUACCUGUGUGCAGAAAACAAAAGCACUCACAGCUAAGUACUCAUUCAUAAGCAUCCAAAAUUCUGUUAGGGAACAAGAGGGGUGAGUGGGAAGGGGAAAACAAUAACAAUUAUAUGCUCAAAAAUCUGAGAUCAUAAGUGAAAAAGAAAAUAACAAGAUACUUAAUGUGUACCUCUCUGUCCCAGUGAUGAACAUGAAUAUUCACAAAUUCAGAAUAUUUGCAGACAUCACGAGAAUUCCAAUGACUUUCCAAAAACAUAUUUUUUCUAAUAACACCAAAUAAGGAAAUUCUAUGCAGUUCACAAAUAUUAAGCUUUGAAAUUAAAAGUGAGAAAAAAAAUUGUGAUAUUACAAAAUGAAAAUACAGAGAUAUAUUUUGGGACAAAGAAAUACUGAUUAACGCAAUAAAUCAUAAUAAACCAUGUCUAAUGACACUAGCAAUUUGAAAUAGUAUCAAAUGCAGACUAUCUAACCUGGAACUUGGAAGCCAUAUGAAUCAUUACCAAUUAAAUAGAUUCCACAAUAAAUUAAUGUCAAAAGCAGUAAGAAUCUCGACAUUGUCUACUACCAUUCUCACAAAGGUCAAUAUUACAUUGUAAUUAUCAAUUAUAGUGGAAGACCUUAAUUACAGUGGCACUGCUUAAUAUCAUCAUGAUUUAUGGUUUUUACAUUAUUUAAGGAAAAUAUCAGUUAAAUUUUGCUUUCCAAAUAGCUUUAACAAUAUUUUGUUUUAAAACAGAAAAAUAAAAAUGAAGAAACCAUCAAAUGAGAUUUUUCUUUUAUUGCUAAAAACAUUUUUCAAUCAAGUUGACCACAAUUUACAACUAGCACUGCCACCGGUGCCACCACACUACCACCACCACUAUCACCAUGGUUCUUACUGCUACCAUGAAACAACUACUGUGCUGACACCACUAGCACCACAGUGAACUCACCCCCAUCACCACUCACCAUUGUUGACUUUAUGCCAUUACCACAGCAACUACUGCUACCACUAACCAUUGUUGGCGCCAUUUCACAGCACAAAGUGGGUGGAAAACAUGGUAAGAUUAACUGAACUGACUUGAAUUGCAACAAACCUUAAUUGCUACUUCUUGACAAUCUUUCAGAAUGGCACGAUGCACUUGAGCAAUAGAAGCAGCAGCUAUCGGUUUUUCAUCAAAUGACAAAAAUAUCUUUGACAAAUCGUGACCCAGAUUGCUGAUUAGCACUUCUUUUAUUGCUUUGAAAUGACAAGGAACAGCCUGAUCCUGCAGUGAAGAAAGGGUUGAAGAGUACUCUUUCGGAACUUGCUGCAGUGCGGCAACAAACUGACCAGCUUUCACGUAGAAACCUUUAUUGGCCUCACAUAAUUUCAGCAUUCUGUUGGCUGAACGUAAAUGAACCUCAGAUAGUUUGCGACGAUACUCCUCAGAGUCCACCGGAAGCCCCCGCAAGGAAUACUUGUAGUCUGCAACGGCGAAACCAAUUGUGGAGAUUGCGCGAGAGGAGCGAAAAACUGCGUGGAUUGCAGCUCUAAUCUUCUCGGGAAAGAAGGAAGAAGAAUGGAGAGAUGAAACUGGGAGGAAAUUGAGGUAGUCAGCAGCAUGGAGGGUGAGGCCGGUGGCCGUUAUUAGGUAAAGAGUGGUUCUGACCUUCGCAUGAAACUUGAAAUUUUGCGUAGACGUUGUCAUCUGGCGGAGAUGCUGGCCGCUGCUGGAGAAACUUCUUUUGGCGGUGAGGAGGCGGCAAAAGUUCAUAAUACGGUGCGGAUCGAUUUGGAUUGUUCGAGCGUGCAAGCCACUGUUUAACUCAACUCAACUCAACAAAAUUUUCAUAUAAAAAUUUAAGGUUGACUAGCAUGGUUACUAUUACAGAUCACUAAUUCCUCUCCUUUUGAAUUGAAUAUCGGAACUUGGAAAGAAAAUCCAUAUUCUGCUUACUCAGUCA
rnacentral:misc_RNA from 1 species